GGCCACUCUAUUAAAUGGUUUGUCUAUUAUAUAUAUAUCACAGGGCUGCUGUGAAGAUUAAAUAAGAUAAUAAAAUGUCAGAAUAAUGUGUGACAUAUAAAAAAGUAUUAAAAACGCCAGGUGACAUCGAGAAAACGUCACGUUCCACAAGAAUAAAGGAAUCAGCUUUCUCUUCCAAUCGUUCACCUAGUGUGGUCACUAACUCUCACUUUACAUGUGUAAGUAAUGCUACAACUAGGUGGUGCAGGGAACAUUCGCUUGCUCACUUCAUGCAGAAGAUGCACGGUAUUAAAAUGCAGAGGUCACAGCAAGAAUAUGCAACAAAUACAUGCUACGAUCAUGGAAAGGCAAAGCCGAAACACCGCAGAGCCACGACUGCAACUGUUCUGUAGCAAACACCGUUCCCACGGGGACUGCGGCUGCCAACUUCCGGAAACAGCCGGUUCCGCUUCAGGAACAUUCGCGAAUUUUCCGGUCGCGCAGGCGCAGAAGAGAGGGGAAGAGGCGGAGAAAGCGCCGGGCGUCCUGACGUUUGCGGCGGCGCCGCGCUAGAUUGGACUGAGUGAGGCGAGUAUCCGCGGGGUCCUGGAGAGAACCUGACAUUCAUAGAUGAGAGUCCUUAAAGAGCAGAAAAGGUGUUUGAGGGCUAACCUACCCUUUCCAGACUUAGUCACUGUUUAUUCACUCGGUAUCUCAUGUCACAAAAGCGUGCAACCGUCUUUAUCCCCCGCACCCCAGCGUCCUUUUUGG
rnacentral:lncRNA from 1 species